GCAGGCCUAACACAUGCAAGUCGAGCGCGAAAGCACUUCGGUGUGAGUAGAGCGGCGGACGGGUGAGUAACGCGUAGGAAUCUACCUAGUAGUGGGGGACAACUCGGGGAAACUCGAGCUAAUACCGCAUAAGCCCUACGGGGGAAAGCGGGGGACCUUCGGGCCUCGUGCUAUUAGAUGAGCCUGCGUUGGAUUAGCUAGUUGGUGGGGUAAAGGCCUACCAAGGCGACGAUCCAUAGCUGGUCUGAGAGGAUGAUCAGCCACACCGGGACUGAGACACGGCCCGGACUCCUACGGGAGGCAGCAGUGGGGAAUAUUGCGCAAUGGGCGAAAGCCUGACGCAGCCAUGCCGCGUGUGUGAAGAAGGCCUUCGGGUUGUAAAGCACUUUCAAUUGGGAGGAAAGGUUCACGGUUAAUAACCGUGAGCUGUGACGUUACCUUUAGAAGA
rnacentral:rRNA from 1 species